UCAGUGAUCCCAAUGUUAUUAAUAGGGAAUAAAGAUAAAUAUAUAGGAAGGUCAGUGAUCCCAAUGUUAUUAAUAGGGAAUAAAGAUAAAUAUAUAGGAAGGCCGGGGUAUUUCCCUAGUUAUGAGGAGUUGUUAGUGUCAGUAGAAACACAAUAAGACAUGAGUUACUGAUGCUGCAGUUACAGAGGGGCCAAUGUGCAAUAUAAAUAAAUAAAUAGAAAAAAGAAAAUGAUUUCACACUUACCGAAAUUUUCUUUUCCUAGCCAUCCUCCCCAUCAACAGAGAAAAAACUGAUGGGUUAACUCUUGCUACUCCCAGCCUGGACAGAAACAGUUAAUUUUUAAACCUAUAAAGCCCUCCUCUUCCUGGCUCACAACAGCCAAUUAUAAAGCAAUAUAUAGGGUGGGUAUGUUGACAAGGAUGACCAGGAAAAUAAAAUUUCAAUAAGUAUGAAAUAAUUUUCUUUUUUCCUGGCCAUCCUCCCUUCAACAUAGAAAAAAAUGAUGGGUUAUACCCAAGCAAUCAAGAAAACACAAGGGAGGGAACACUAUGCUAAAUUAUUUAUUUUGCAGAACAUGUAGACAAAAGAAUGGAUUGACCAAACUGGGCUUGUGAGGAAGACAAAACAUCUAAUCUGUAAUACCUAAUGAAAGUGUUAGGAGUGACCCUGGUUGCUGCUUUACAUAUCGCCUCGGAGGAGGUUCCUGCUUCUGCUGCCCAAGAGGCUGCCAUACCUCGUGUGGAAUGUGCCUUAACUCCCUCAGGUAAUGCUCUGCCCUGUUGUUGAUAGGCCUUGGAUAUGGUUUUAGUUACCCAGGAACUUAAAGUGGACCUAGAAGCUGGUUCUCCUUUUCUUUUUCCUGCUGGAAUAACGAAUAACAUUCUGGAUUUUCUGAUAUCCUUUGUUCUUUUAAUGUAAAUUUCUAGACAUCUUUUAACAUCUAGCGUAGCUAAAUCUUCUUGAGAAGAUGAAGGUGUCUCAAACACCGGCAAAGCAAUGGGCUCAUUUAUAUGGAAUUUUGAGACAACCUUAGGAAGGAAACUGAGAAUUGGUCUAUGAGUUCCCUUUUUAUCAUGAAAGACAGUAUAAGAAGGAUCCACAGAGAGAGCUUGGAGUUCACAAAUCCAUCUAGCUGAUUUGAUAGCUAUCAGAAAGAAGGUUUUUAAGGUUAAUAGCCACAGAGAUACCUUUUCCAAUGGUUCAAAAGGCGGAGACACAAGAGACUUCACAACUAAUGGGAGAUCCCAGGUUGGGUGAACAGCUUUGACAGGAGGUCGAAUUCUUACAACUGCUUUGAAGAAUCUCGCAAUUAGAGGAUCAUUAGACCAUCUACUCUCCAAUAUGGCCGAUAAAGCAGAAACUUGCCCCUUUAGCAUACUUAAGCUCAAACUUUUUGGAGGCCUACUUAGAGGAAUUCUAAAAUAUCAACAACCGAAUGUGUUAAUGGAUUAAUAUGCUUCUCAGAGUACCACGAAGAAAAAAUCUCCCAAACUUUAUGGUAUUUAGCCACUGUAUUGAUUUUUCUGGCCUUGAUGAGUGUAUCGAUAACUGAAUCCGAACAUCCGUAUCCUUUCAGGAUCCUCCUCUCAACCUCCAAGCCAUUAAUCUGAGGUUCUCCUCGGCUUCAGAUGAUUCCGUCUGCCCUGAAAAAGAAGAUUCCUGGAUAGCGGAAGUGGCAAUCGGUCCACUAUCAGAAGGCUCUUCCAAAGUGGAUGCCAGGGUCUCCUUGGCCAAUCUGCAGAAAUAGCAAUGACCUCCAUCCUUGUUACUCAGAUUUUCCUCAAGACUCUCAGGAUUACUGGGACAGGAGGGAAAACAUAAGCAAAUAGGCCCUCCCAACUCUGAGAGAAGGCAUCCACAGCUUCCGUGCCCAGACAAGGAGCUCUGGAGAAGAACACUGGUAGUUUGGUGUUCACAUCUGUUGCCAUCAAAUCCACUUGUGGACGACCCCAAUUGGAAGUUAUCCACGCAAAAAUCUUCUGAUUCAACUCCCAUUCUCCUAAGGAUAGGAGAUGUCGACUGAGGAAAUCCGCAUGCUUGUUCUGGACUCCCGGAACAUACUGAGCCGUCAAAUCUUGAAGAUGACCUUGAGCCAAAUCCAAAAUUGGGAUUGUUUCCAUGAAUAAAGUCUUGAUUUACGUUGCUCCUUGUUCCCUUAUGUAUGCUGCAGCUGCUGCAUUGUCCGUUCUGACUUUCACCGCAGCUCCUAGGAGUACUUUCUUGAAAGACUGAAGAGCCUGGAAAAGCCAGUACAUUGGAAGGGUUCUUCUGCUCGGGAAGGGAAGGAGCAAUCGUCCCCGUAUCGUAUGUCAGAGACAAUGUCGCUACCCGACACCCCCGGGGCACAGGCAGGUAGGUGGUACAUAUACACUCUGGGCACAAUAUUAUGGGGGCAGUUUAUAUUUCUCCUCUGUACCUCCAUUCUGUUGUGUAAACCAACUACCCCUGCUGGUUAGCCAGAAUCCGUGGCUCCAUAUUUUCCACUAGGUAUAUAACAUUGAGCCUGUUCUAUAUAGGUAUAAUGCUACCCUUGUGCUGGUGGGGGAUGCUGGGAUUUGUAGUUAAACAGCUGAAUAGGCCAUGUCUCUAUACCUGCUCAGUACUAUGGCAACCGGCUUUCCUACAGUGUCUGUCACAUUGCAGGUGGGGAAAAUUUUUUGCUCCUCGGUCUCCUCGUACAUGUGGGAUGGGCGCCUCCUGCAGAUGGAAUCCAAGGUACAGCUGAGCAUGAUGGGAUAUUUGGGAAUGUGUCAUGUGACUGGCAGAAAGGGUGAGAGUUGGACUAGUGCUGAAGGGGAAUAUAAUAUGAUUCAGUAUAUACAGGGUUAAGUGGGCAGGGCUGUGGGGCCAGAGUUCACUGUGAGAGAGGAGGCGGAGCAGACUUUAGAGGAGGGGCCAGUUGUACAGUGUCAAUGGGAAAAGGUGGGAUGAAGUUUCCAUUGGAGAUAGGGUCAGUGUAAUAUAUGGGGGAGGAAGCCCUGUGUUUAGAGAGGGGGUAUUGGCUAGAGGUGUAUGAGGCCGUUUGGGACAUUGAGUACAAUGGGGGGAGGGGGGUCACAGCACUGUCAUAGAUUGGGGAGAGGACCUUGUUAGUAACAUCACUCUGUUCCUUCCAGGAGGAAGAAGAUGAGGAUGAACUUGUUGCCUUGGAUGAGACCUUCUCCAGGUCAGUUCCUUGGGUCCAUACUCAUUGCCGCUCUAUAGACCACCAGGAUGGUGGGGGGGUAACUUUGCUUCAGGGGCUUCCCAAUUGCCAUUCAGGAAGGAGCAUUGCUGGGAGUAUCUGGCAGGCAGAUGUUAUACUUAUAGUUUGAGGUUUCACUAAUUAUCUGGCCAAAAGCUUCAUAUUUACCCCCCCCGUCUCUCAAUGUCAUUAAUGUUGAUUUAUAUUCUGUAUCUGGGCCCCUGCCAUAGGCACAUUUAUGUUUCCAUAUUUAACAAAUAAACACAGGGUCUGGUGUUCAUCACUGUUGUUAUAUAUAGAAAGUGUGGCACAGUGUCUGGGAAAAGACUAGAGGGAAGGUUCUCUCAGGAUGCUCUAUGACACACGGGAAGAAUAAUAUGUAAGAAUAAUAUAAUAGGCUGUGAGUUGUGAGGCUGUUACUGAUGAGCCAUACCCUGGGGAGGAGAGGUCUCUGGCAGAAAAGCGAGUUAUGAGGUGGAGAAGAAACCCCUGAGAGACCCAAGACUGGUGCAGAACAGAUAUGUGUGAGAGAACCAAGACUGGUGCAGAACAGAUACAUGUGAGAGACCCAAGAGUGGUGCAGAACAGAUAUGUGUGAGAGACCCAAGACUGGUGCAGAACAGAUAUGUGUGAGAGACCCAAGACUGGUGCAGAACAGAUAUGUGUGUGAGACCCAAGACUGGUGCAGAACAGAUAUGUGUGAGAGACCCAAGAGUGGUGCAGAACAGAUAUGUGUGAGAGACCCAAGACUGGUGCAGAACAGAUAUGUGUGUGAGACCCAAGACUGGUGCAGAACAGAUAUGUGUGAGACCCAAGACUGGUGCAGAACAGAUAUGUGUGAGAGACCCAAGACUGGUGCAGAACAGAUAUGUGUGAGACCCAAGACUGGUGCAGAACAGAUAUGUGUGAGAGACCCAAGACUGGUGCAGAACAGAUAUGUGUGUGAGAGACCCAAGACUGGUGCAGAACAGAUAUGUGUGUGAGACCCAAGACUGGUGCAGAACAGAUAUGUGUGAGAGACCCAAGACUGGUGCAGAAAAGAUAUGUGUGUGAGACCCAAGACUGGUGCAGAACAGAUACGUGUGAGAGACCCAAGACUGGUGCAGAACAGAUACGUGUGAUAGACCCAAGACUGGUGCAGAACAGAUAUGUGUGAGAGACCCAAGACUGGUGCAGAACAGAUAUGUGUGAGAGACCCAAGACUGGUGCAGAACAGAUACGUGUGAGAGACCCAAGACUAGUGCAGAACAGAUGUGUGAGAAACCCAAGACUGGUGCAGAACAGAUAUGUGUGAGAGACCCAAGACUAGUGCAGAACAGAUGUGUGAGAGACCCAAGACUGGUGCAGAACAGAUAUGUGUGUGAGAGACCCAAGACUGGUGCAGAACAGAUACGUGUGUGAGACCCAAGACUGGUGCAGAACAGAUACGUGUGUGAGACCCAAGACUGGUGUAGAACAGAUAUGUGUGAGAGACCCAAGACUGGUGCAGAACAGAUAUGUGUGAGACCCAAGACUGGUGCAGAACAGAUACGUGUGUGAGACCCAAGACUGGUGCAGAACAGAUACGUGUGUGAGACCCAAGACUGGUGCAGAACAGAUACGUGUGUGAGACCCAAGACUGGUGCAGAACAGAUACGUGUGUGAGACCCAAGACUGGUGCAGAACAGAUACGUGUGUGAGACCCAAGACUGGUGUAGAACAGAUAUGUGUGAGAGACCCAAGACUGGUGCAGAACAGAUAUGUGUGUGAGACCCAAGACUGGUGCAGAACAGAUAUGUGUGAGACCCAAGACUGGUGCAGAACAGAUAUGUGUGUGAGACCCAAGACUGGUGCAGAACAGAUAUGUGUGAGAGACCCAAGACUGGUGCAGAACAGAUAUGUGUGUGAGAGACCCAAGACUGGUGCAGAACAGAUAUGUGUGAGAGACCCAAGACUGGUGCAGAACAGAUAUGUGUGUGUGAGACCCAAGACUGGUGCAGAACAGAUACGUGUGUGAGACCCAAGACUGGUGUAGAACAGAUAUGUGUGAGACCCAAGACUGGUGCAGAACAGAUAUGUGUGUGAGACCCAAGACUGGUGCAGAACAGAUACGUGUGUGAGAGACCCAAGACUGGUGCAGAACAGAUAUGUGUGUGUGAGACCCAAGACUGGUGCAGAACAGAUAUGUGUGAGACCCAAGACUGGUGUAGAACAGAUAUGUGUGUGAGAGACCCAAGACUGGUGCAGAACAGAUAUGUGUGUGAGAGACCCAAGACUGGUGCAGAACAGAUACGUGUGUGAGAGACCCAAGACUGGUGCAGAACAGAUAUGUGUGAGAGACCCAAGACUGGUGCAGAACAGAUAUGUGUGUGAGACCCAAGACUGGUGCAGAACAGAUAUGUGUGUGAGAGACCCAAGACUGGUGCAGAACAGAUACGUGUGUGAGAGACCCAAGACUGGUGCAGAACAGAUAUGUGUGAGAGACCCAAGACUGGUGCAGAACAGAUACGUGUGUGAGAGACCCAAGACUGGUGCAGAACAGAUAUGUGUGAGAGACCCAAGACUGGUGCAGAACAGAUACGUGUGAGACCCGUGUGCCAGGGAACUAGUCUGUUCUGCUUAAUGGACAAACACUGUGAUUUGCUGUUACUUUUGUUACUCACUAUUACCAUUUACUUCUCUCUUGAAACCUCCAUUGUGAAUAAAACAGGCAGAUUUCUGUUUUAAGUUACCCUGGAUGACACUGCCUUUUACUACUUUGAAAAGUUAUUACCAUGUCUGAUAUUUGAGCAAAUUCCCACUAAAGCCAAUUGGAAAGAGAAUAUUAUGUUACUUAGGCUGCAGUUGUAUAGUAAGUCUCUCUCAGAGCCAGUGCCAGAUAGUCUGCAAGAGAUCAGCUGCAUGGAAUAUAGAUGGUAUUAGAUUCAUUUUCUGUUUGGGAAACAGUAUUGUGGGUCAUGGUGCCAAGUAACCCCAGUAUAAUGUUAUACAGGGAGAGAGUACUGUUAUACAGGGAGAGAGUAAUGUUAUACAGGGAGAGCAUUAUGGUAUAGAGGAGGAGAGCAUUAUGUUAUACACGCAGGAGGAGCAAUUCAUAACUAUCUCAGACCCCUGAUUAUUGGUUUACUCCGAGCUCCUCUGCACUUCAACAGAGCUCUCGCCUCAUCUUCUGAGCAUCUAAUCUCAGGCUUUUCUGGGUUAGAGUAAAGCUCAUACUUGAUGAUACUUUGCACUCAUGGACUGGAAUAGGACUAACUGUUGUCACCAGCUAAACACAGACCUUACUACUGACCUUGCUAAGAACUCUAAUCACUAACUGCCGGCUUGUCUGUGUUUUCUGGUAGAGCUUCACUUUCUGCCUGCAGGGUCCUUGUGGAGCAGAAUGCUUACCUGGUUGCUUCAGUCUUCUUGGAAGUGAUGUUCACAUCAGUGCCAACUUCAUCUGGGCUCGAUUAGAUAUUCCACAUACUAUAUCCAUUCUCCUCUUAUGUAGAGCAGAGCUUUCACUUUGCCUCGGACCCAUGUAGGCUCUAUCCUGCUGUCUCCAAGCUCUUCUCAUAUAAAUGGAAAUAGUUGAUGUCCCCUAAACCCUUGUUUGUGUGGUUUGGAGAAUCUGCCCAUCAUACAGGCAAGACUGGCUAAAGGCCGAAGGUGUUCCACUUGAAAGUGAGUGUUUUGUACAUUAGUCUGCCCCAUAUGCAGUAAACCCAAGGGGUGCCUUUCAGACAGAAAGCUGUAUAUUGUGUUAAUGGUGGAUAUAGAAUAGGGAAAAGGAUGUAUCAGUUCCCCCAUAUUGACUUUGUAUUUGGGCAGGUCGGCCCAUUGUGUUCCUAGACACAUCCACAUGGUUUACUGUAUUUGCAGAUUAUAUCUGUAGGUCUGGGUAUAAAGCAUUGAAUGCACUGUGAUAUAAACACCCUGUACCCCGACAUAUCUGAGGGCCCCCCUCUUCUGCAGUGGUGCUAAUGGUUUCUAUGUAGGAGACCUGACUUAUUUUAUACUGAUUGUAACCAGUUGCUGCUAAUUUUGCCAUAAAUUAUUUGUUCUCUACUUAUUUCCUCUGUGUCUUUUCUCUGCAUGUGCCACCCUCUUUCUGUCAGCACCCAGUUACACAACUAAAGUAGGUUUUGGUGCACCCAUCUUUAUGUAUGUGGGCAGGACCCAAUCACCCAGUUACAAAUUAAAGGCUCAUAGGUGUAUGUGUGCACCUGUCUAUAAGCUAUAAGUGUGUGGGCAGAUCCAAGCACCCAGUUACACAGCUAACAUAGGUUUGUGUGCACCCAUAUAAAUGCAUUCAAGGGGGGGGUGGACCCAAACACCCAGUUGACCUAUGUGUGUGUGUGUGUAUUAGUGUGAUCCUGUUGCAUGGGCCAGCUUGUAACCCUCAGGAGCCACAGUCUAAUCUACAGACCAGGUGCAUUUGGGCCAAUGAACAUAUUGUUUAGUUGGCGGCAGGCUGGACUUUACCCACUUCCCUCUGCACCAAUGACCCCUCAGACAUUCAUCAUCCAGCCGUCUAUACCACUAUUCAUGUACAUUUUCACCUGCUACACCCACUCUAAAUAAGUAUUGAUGGCGUGUCAGGUCCAGUUGGGUCCAUGUUGGGUUUAGGGUCAGGCACAGGCUGUUUGCCAACCCAGCCUACCUUAAGUCGAGUGUGAGGAGUGGAGCACCCAGUUCGCCUAAAUUUGCGGGGCUGAGUGAAGAGCAGUUGUACAGUGGUUACAGAGUGGGUGCAAAAGACGGUCAUAAAACCAUUUGUGAAAUAAAUAAUUUAGGUUAUUUAUGUAAAGAAGAACUUUAUGGGAGAAAAGAGUUUGAAGGGAAAGUUUUGCAGCCGGGACAUGAAAAAUGGGACAAUUUCAUCAUGAGAGGAAACUGAAUGUGAUGGUUUUGCAUUAAUUUAGGGGAUAGGGUUUAAGAGUUUUUGGUUCCAGAACUCUAAUAGAUGGUUAGGGCCACUUUGCUUAUAACAAGGUUAUAGACCUGCAUUGGCUGUGCACAGGUCCAGACUGGCAUUCCAAAUAAACAGAGGCCUAAAUAGUCCUCCACCAAACCACUGAAUAGUGACUGUCUAUGGCACCUUACAGCAGCCCCUCUGGCAUUUGCCAGAACCCACAGAUUGCCAGUCCGGGCCUGCCUGUGCAGUCACAGUGCCAAGAACAUCCAUCUAGGACAGCAAAUACAUGCUCAAAACCAGAUCCCACCCUAAUUAACUUUCAAGCUAGGCACCCAUGAUCACAUCUCACUCUUAAUGGCCUUGAACCUGGUCACCCUUGGGGGGAGGGGGGAUAAUUGUUUAUGGGUGCCACCAUGAGAGAAUGGCACUUAGAUUGAGAGGGAACAGAGGUGAAGAUGUCAUGUCACAACUAAUGAACAACAUUAACUGUAGAAACAUUAUGGGAGUAACAUCAGAAAAGAGUUGAUUGUAAGAGUGGAAUAGUCAAACAGAAUCAAAAUGGUAACAUUGUAAAAUUGCAGCAGUUUAUAUUUAUAUAGUUUCACAUUAUGGUGGUGGACAUAAAUGAGUAGACAUUCCAAAGACCAGUAUGGUGCUAAACAGUAGAACAUUGGAACAUAGCACAGUAUAUCAUAUGGCAAGAGUAAAAUCAAUGGGAUCCCAGCAGAAUGCAGCAAUGGAACAGUUUGUCACAUGUCAGGGCAGCUAGAGCAGUUCUAUUAACUGAAGAACAGAACCUUGAAGAAAUGGUGAAUGGGAACUGAUAUCUACAGACAGGAUUGGGAAAUGAGUAUGAAGGACACGAGCAGAUCAGUAGGGAGAGUGCCCAUACAGAGGUUCAUGAGUCCAUCAAGACUGAUAAAAUUCUCUCCCAACAGCUUUGCAAGGGGGCCUCCUAUACAGGGCCCAAGAACUUGUACUUGUUUGUCAGCCCUAAGGAUUCACAAUCAGACCCAUAUUUGAGAGUGGAUCUUGCCAUGGGCAGGUUUAACCAUGAAAUAAUGUGAUGUAGAACUAUGAAAACAAGAAUUGGACAUGUUGUGACAUUAUUACAUGUUGUGACAACUUAGGGGCACAUUUAUCAUAGUUAGAGGUCUAAGAUUUCACUUUAAUAAGGCUAAUGGGAUUUUUGAAUGAUUGGCCAAGUUUUCAUUUUCCAAAAAUC